rnacentral:rRNA from 1 species
GACAGAGGGUGCAAACGUUGUUCGGAAUUACUGGGCGUAAAGCGCGUGUAGGCGGCUCGGAAAGUCAAGUGUGAAAGCCCUGGGCUCAACCCAGGAAGUGCACUCGAAACUCCCGAGCUCGAGUCCCGGAGAGGAAAGCGGAAUUCUCGGUGUAGAGGUGAAAUUCGUAGAUAUCGAGAGGAACACCGGUGGCGAAGGCGGCUUUCUGGACGGCGACUGACGCUAAGACGCGAAAGCGUGGGGAGCAAACAGG